rnacentral:rRNA from 1 species
AGUGAACGCUGGCGGUAGGCCUAACACAUGCAAGUCGAACGGCAGCACAGUAAGAGCUUGCUCUUACGGGUGGCGAGUGGCGGACGGGUGAGGAAUACAUCGGAAUCUACUUUUUCGUGGGGGAUAACGUAGGGAAACUUACGCUAAUACCGCAUACGACCUACGGUUGAAAGCAGGGGAUCUUCGGACCUUGCGCGAUUUAUUGAGCCGAUGUCGGAUUAGCUAGUUGGCGGGGUAAAGGCCCACCAAGGCGACGAUCCGUAGAUGGUCUGAGAGGAUGAUCAGCCACACUGGAACUGAGACACGGUCCAGACUCCUACGGGAGGCAGCAGUGGGGAAUAUUGGACAAUGGGCGCAAGCCUGAUCCAGCAAUACCGCGUGGGUGAAGAAGGCCUUCGGGUUGUAAAGCCCUUUUGUUGGGAAAGAAAAGAAGCAGGUUAAUACCCCGCUGUUCUGACGGUACCCAAAGAAUAAGCACCGGCUAACUUCGUG